rnacentral:rRNA from 1 species
AAAGAUUCAUCUAUGCAUGUCUAAGUAUAAACGAUCUAAUCGUGAAACCGCGAAUGGCUCAUUAUAACAGCUAAAAUCUACUUGAUCUUGACACAAUCCUACUUGGAUAACUGUGGUAAUUCUAGAGCUAAUACAUGCAUUAAAGCUCUGACCUCACGGGAAGAGUGCACUUAUUAGAACAAAACCAAGCGGCUUCGGCUGUUUCUGGUUGACUCAUAGUAACUGAGCUGAUCGCACGGUCUUGCACCGGCGACGUGUCUUUCGAGUAUCUGCCGUAUCAACUUUCGAUGGUAGUGUAUCUGACUACCAUGGUGAUCACGCGUAACGGAGAAUAAGGGUUCGGCUCCGGAGAGUUCGCCUGAGAAAUCGCGAACACAUCUAAGGAAGGCAGCAGGCGCGAAAAUUACCCACUCUCAGCACGAGGAGGUAGUGACGAAAAAUAACGAGACCGUUCUCUUAUGAGGCCGGUCAUCGGAAUGGGUACAAUUUAAACCCUUUAACGAGUAUCUAUGAGAGGGCAAGUCUGGUGCCAGCAGCCGCGGUAAUUCCAGCUCUCAAAGUGCAUAGAAUUAUUGCUGCGGUUAAAAAGCUCGUAGUUGGAUCUGUGCCAUAGGACGUGGUCCACCUUCUGGGUGCGUACUAUGUUCCUAGGCUUUUUGCUGGUUUUCCCGUCGUAGCCUUAACUGGUUGCGGCGGGUGGCUGGCGAGUUUACUUUGAGAAAAUCAGAGUGCUCAACACAGGCGUAUCGCUUGAAUGAUUGUGCAUGGAAUAAUAGAAAAGGAUUUCGGUCCUCUUUUAUUGGUUUUGUGGACUGAGAUAAUGGUUAACAGGGACCAACGGGGGCAUUCGUAUCGCUGCGUGAGAGGUGAAAUUCUUGGACCGUAGCGAGACGGCCUACUGCGAAAGCAUUUGCCAAGAAUG